GAUGAACGCUAGCGGCAGGCCUAAUACAUGCAAGUCGAACGGUCCGCUUCGGCGGAUAGUGGCGCACGGGUGCGUAACACGUAUGCAACCUACCUUACAUUGGGGGAUAGCCUUUCGAAAGGGAGAUUAAUACCGCAUAAGACAGUAGCUGGGCAUCCAGUAGCUGUUAAAGAUUUAUCGAUGUAAGCUGGGCAUGCGUCCAAUUAGUUAGUUGGUGAGGUAACGGCUCACCAAGACGAUGAUUGGUAGGGGAACUGAGAGGUCAAUCCCCCACACUGGCACUGGGAUCCGGGCCAGACUGCUACGGGGGGUGGGAGUAGGGAAUAUUGGGCGAUGGACGCAAGUCUGACCCAGCCAUGGCGCGUGCAGGACGAAGGCGUUCUGCGUUGUAAACUGCUUUUAUAUAGGAAGAAACGACCCUUGCGAGGGGCAUUGACGGUAUUAUAUGAAUAAGCACCGGCUAACUCCGUGCCAGCCGCCGCAGUAACAC
rnacentral:rRNA from 1 species